rnacentral:lncRNA from 1 species
GUGUAAGUAAAGAUGCAGCCUAUUGUUUGUAUUGUUAUCUAUUUAAAGAUAAUAAUAUUCAUCAAGGUGGAGGUGAUGUAUUUUCAAGUAUAGGGUUUAAGAGUUGGCAUAAAAAGAAAAGGUUUGAUAAACAUGGAUCUAGUAGCAUUCACAAUGAGUCAAAAAAGAAAUGCUAAGAUUUGCAACAACAACGGUUUAUUCAAUCAUCAUUUGAGAGGUAAUCUAAUCAAAUGGAUGUGAUGUAUUUUCAAGUAUAGGAUUUAAGAAUUGGCAUAAAAAGAAUAGUUUUGAUAAACAUGGGUCAAGUGACAUUCACAAUGAGUCAAAAAUGAAAUGCCAAGAUUUGCAGCAAUAACGGUCUAUUCAAUCUUCAUUUGAG